CAUGGAGGAGUUUUUGGCAGCAGAGGCCCUGGUGAAGGAAGAUGCCAAACAAAAGCAGCUAAUGGUGUCUACCUUAGCCCUUUGAGGAGGAACCGACGUAGGGGUCACAGUGAGGCAGAUGCUGCGUAGCCUCCUGGUCAACAGCUAGGCCAGCCAAUUUAACUGGGCUGGAAAGGGGGAAAAAACUGCGUUUAAGGACACCAAGAUCCAUGAUGUCCUGUUUGAUGCUCUACAAAAGCAGCUGCCAGGGAGCACACACACUACUUUUAGUGACGCAAUCAAGAAGUGGCUUAAGUAUGCG